AUUGAACGCUGGCGGCAUGCCUUACACAUGCAAGUCGAACGGCAGCACGGGGCAACCUGGUGGCGAGUGGCGAACGGGUGAGUAAUGCAUCGGAACGUACCUUUCAGUGGGGGAUAACGUAGCGAAAGUUACGCUAAUACCGCAUAUUCUGUGAGCAGUAAAGCAGGGGAUCGCAAGACCUUGCGCUGAUGGAGCGGCCGAUGUCAGAUUAGCUAGUUGGUGAGGUAAAGGCUCACCAAGGCGACGAUCUGUAGCGGGUCUGAGAGGAUGAUCCGCCACACUGGAACUGAGACACGGUCCAGACUCCUACGGGAGGCAGCAGUGGGGAAUUUUGGACAAUGGGGGCAACCCUGAUCCAGCCAUGCCGCGUGAGUGAAGAAGGCCUUCGGGUUGUAAAGCUCUUUCGGCCGGGAAGAAAUCGCACGGGCUAAUACCCUGUGUGGAUGACGGUACCGGAAUAAGAAGCACCGGCUAACUACGUGCCAGCCGCCGCGGUAAAAC
rnacentral:rRNA from 1 species